rnacentral:lncRNA from 1 species
AUUUUUGCUUUAUGGUCACCAUGAAGUUUGCAUUCAAGGUUUCAUAGAUAAGAUAGUCCUUUUUCUGCUGAUAGCAUCUUAUCUCCAUUGGCCUAAGUGGGUUCCAUUCUUUUCCUCUUCCCUUCUCUGUUUUUGUUGUCAUAAAGUAUCCCUUUUUGUAUUUUGUGUCUGUUACCAAAUUGAAGAGGUUAUAGCUAUUUUUAAUGCUUCCUUUCUCUUCAAUCAUUAUAAUUAAGUGUUUACUGUCCUAUUCUGACACAGAGUUGUAAUUUUCUGAUUCUGUCUAUCACCUUGUUCAAAGCUUUUCAUACCUUACCCUUUUCCUUUCAGGUGUGAGAGCUCCUUUCAACAUUUCUUGUAAGGAAGGUCUAGUGGCAAUGAACUCCCUAAGCUUUUGUUUGUCUGGAAAGCCUUUAUUUCUCCUUCCUAUCCAAAAGAUAAGUUUGAUGGAGAGAGUAUUCUUGGCAGACAGUUUUUGUCUUUCUAUAUUUUGAAAUAGCUUUCCACUUUCUUCUGGCCUGUAGAGUUUUGCUCAGAAAUCUGCUGAUAGCCUAAGGAGGGGUUCCCUUGUAGUUUACAGUCUUUUUUUCCAUGACUGCAUUUAAUAUUACUUCUUUGUCAUUGAUUUUCGACAGUUUAUUAUUAUGUAUCUUGGAGAAGGUCUUUUUGCAUUGAGAUAAUUGAGUGUUCUAUUAGCUUUAUGGAUUUGUAUAUCCAGUGUCUUCCCUGGGUUCAGAAGUUCUCAGCUAUCAUUUCUUUAAAUGAGCUCUCUGCUCUGUUCUCUUUCUCUUCUCCCUUCUGGGAUACCAUUGUCCUUACGUUGCCUGUCUAGUGGAGUCUGAUAAUUCUUGUAGAAUUUCUGCAUUUUUUUUGUCUUAAUUCUCUCUCCUCUUCUACAUGCAUCAUUUCUAGGUUUCUAUCUUUGAGCUCAUUAAUUCCCUCUUCUGUGUAAUUGGCUCUAUUUCCAGUGCUUUGUAAUGCAUUCUUCAUCACAUUUAUUGAGUUCUUCAGCUGCAGAAUUUCUCUUUGGUUCUUUUUAGAGUUUCAAUCUCUUUGGUAAAGUAUUCCUUCUGUUCCUUUUUAUUCCUGAGCUCAUUGAACUACCUUUCUGAGUUUUCUUGUAGCUGAUCGAAUAUCUUCAUGACAGCUCUUUUGAGUAAUUUAUCAGUUAGAUCACACUCUUCUAUGACUUUACAUUUGCUUUCUGGAGAAUCGUUUUCUUUUUGUGAUGCCGUGUUACCAUGGCUUUUUGUAGUGAUUGCUGAGUUAUUCCUCUGCUGGCACAUUUGUUGUAACAAAUAUGCUUCUUAUUCAAGUAUUGCUUUGCUUGUUUUGAUUCAAACUUUUCAACCCCUUGGAGAUUAGAAGCCUUUCUUUUGUUUUUCAGUAGGUGGCACUAUAGCACUAGUUUUUGGUUCCUUUUACCUGCGCUAUCUGUGGCUAUAUUUGAGGAUCUGCAUGUUCCACCGUCCACCGCCUCUAUUUGGGGUGCUGCCCAUACCUUCAUUGUUGCUUGCCCGCACCUCUGUGGGUCACUGAUGCCUUGCUGCUGUUGGUGUUGCUGCAGUCACUGCCUUCACUUCCAGGGAGGGUUGAUGCCUCAGCCAUGUCUAGGAUCACCUGGUUUGGAAGCUUUGACACUGUGGUGUGGGGAGGGGACUGUGAGGAGGAAGCUGGGUUCACAGCACAAUGUCUCAGCUGCUGCCUGUUACCCUGCAGCUAUGUGCACUUCUGUGGUUGAGACAUAGGAGUCUUGUAUCCCCCUUGCCACUGCUACCAGGCUCCGAGCUGCAGCCACAGGCCUGGGAUCACGGGGCUCCACGUUCACUGCUGCUCCACUUCCCAUGGCUGCAGGUGGUGCCAUGGCUGGCUGGCUGGCACUGCACACAUGCCUCCAGUGCUGCUCACCGAGCUCUCUAUCCGGUGCUUGGGGCAGCUGGCUCAGCCGCCAUGGCCGAGGAUCCAGGAUCCUGAGUGCUGCCUUCACUGUUCCCCUGUGUAUCCAAUCCUCCCACCUUCACAUGUACCAAUGUCUGCAUCUCUCAGUACCCCGGCGUGUUGGCCAAUAGGAUUUGUCCUUUGCCAAACAACAGAAUGAACUCCUAUGAUAGGAAGUACAGUAUUAAGCACUGAGGAAACAAAGAUGGUUAAGAUCUGGAGCAGCAAGUGGUCCAGACGCCUGGGAGGUGGGCAAAGCUGUUGCUCAGAUUUGAGUGUUCUGCUGUACACCACAGGAAUCCCUCACGGACAGAUGCAGCAUGGUUUUCUACAUGGAGGAAGAUUUGUUCUUGGAUGAUCUAUGGCAAUAUUUACAUUAGUCUCUGCUAGAGAAAGUGCAUGGAUUUCUUCAACCCACAGUGGAAACUGCUACAUAAUUUCUUGCCUCUAUACAUGCCUCCCACCAACUUCAUUUUUCAGGAUAUAAUAGAAUACUAUCUACCCACUUCAUUUUUACUUAAUUUAAUAACAAUUUCACCGAGCAAUUGAGAACUUUGUGUCAGGCAUAGAUGUCACUAUAUGGGUUUGUCUUUUAAUUCCUAAAGUGGCCUUAUGAGACAGGCUCUAUUACUACCUUUUUGUAUGGAUGAUGAGCAGCUUGCCUAGGUUCAUGCUGCUAGGAAGUGGCCAACAAAGAUUUGAAUCCAGAAUCUGUGCUAUUGACUCUGACACAUUAUUAUUAUUAUAUAACUUUGAUGACAUUGAUAGGCAUGGUGGUCUUCAAAUAAAUGUACAAAGGAUGUGAUGGAAGUGUGGGAGUGAGUAGAUCUGACAGCCUUAGGAAGUAGCCCACACAGUUUAGGCAGCCUUCCAUACUCCUGGUUAGGCAAAGCCCAGGUUUCUGAAAUAUAGGUAACCAUUGAGUCAGGGAGUGUCUCCUAGCCUCUUCCUGUCAAGAGCUGCCAGAUCCACUGUUCUCUCCCAAGCCUAUCUAAAGUUUAGUAAGUGAGAAGACCUCCUGGGGUUUGACAAAGUGGCAACCAAUAGGCUUAGGUACAACACUACUGAAACUGCAUACCCUUUUCUAUUUUUUUAUUUUGUUUUUAUGAUUGUUUCAAAGAAGAGUUGAGAGAAAGUAAAAGAGAUGCUACCAGCCAACCCAUCAUCCAUCUUAACCUAGAUGUUUCACAUUUGGAAUUUUAUACAUAUCAAUUGAAACCUCUAAGGAAAUACUAAACUAACAUCUGUUGCCAAUCCUCCUCUUUUAGCUUGAGGAAGACUGUCACUGAGCUAACAUCUGUACCAAUCUUCCUCCACUUUAUGUGGGAUGUCACCUCAGCAUGGCUUGACGAAUGGUGCUAGGUCUGCGCCCAGGAUCCAAACCUGUGAACCCUGGGCCACCAAAGCAGAGCAUGCAAACUUACCCCUAUGCCACCAGGCCGACCCCCACCCUAUGUCUUUUGAUUGGAGCAUUUAGUCCACUUACAUCUAAAGUAACAAGUGAUAAGUAUGUACUUAUUGCCAUUUUGUUACUUUUUUUCUGGAUGUUUUUGUAGUUUUGUCCAUUCCUUUCUUCUUCUCUUGCUCUCUUCCCUUGUGAUUUAAUGACUUUCUUUAGUUUAUCUUUGGGUUUGUUUCUCUUUAUUUUUUGUGUAUUUAUUAUAGGUUUCUGGUUUGUGGUUCCCAUGAGGUUUAUAAAUAAUAACCUAUGUAUAUAGCAAUCUAUAUUAAGUUGAUGGUCCCUUAAGUUUGACCUCAUACUAAAAGCUCUACACUUUUACUCCCCCCUAUGAUUUAUGUUUUAGAAUUCAUAUUUUACCUCUUUUAAUUUUGUGUGUCCCUUACUCUUUUAUUGUAGAUACAGAUGAUUUUAGUACUUUUGUCUUUUGACCUUCAUACUAGCUUUUUAGGUGGUUAAUCCACUACAUUUAUUAUACAUUUGCCUUUACCAGUGAUACUUUUUCUUUGGUAAUUUUCUUAUUUCUAUUUGUGGCCUUUUCUUUUCCACUUAAAGAAGUCCCUUUAACAUUUCUUGUAAGGCCAGUUUAGAGGUGAUGAACUUCUUUAGUUUUUGCCUGUCUGGAAAACACUUUAUCUCUCCUUCCUUUCUGAAUGAUAACCUUGCUGGGUAGAGUAUUCUUGGUGUUAGGUUUUUUCCUUUCAGCACUUUAAAUAU